CUUCUGUCUGAGCAUCCUACAGUGUUUUGUUUGUGCUUAUCCCCAAUGCAUGUAUGGCUACCAAGGAGUUACCUUCUCAAGAAGACAGCAUGGUGGGCAGGAUCAGGGUCUUGGCACUGCUGCUGUACAGGGAGACCCUGGGAUGGCAAUAGCUCCCAUAUUGAGCUGAGGCAAUAGAUCGUGUGAGUGCGAAAUAAACUAGCUAAGGUGAAAGGCUGUUCUGUAGUGGUUCAAGAUCAAUGGUUUUGCAAUAAUACACAUUGAAAAGGAUGAAAAGUGCUCAUGUAAUCAUUAGCAUGGCUCAGCUCAUAAGAACAAAAGGACAAACACAUGUAUACAUACUCUUAGAUAGCAUGCUAUAGGCAACCUAAAUAAAAACCUUCCACGAAAACUCCAAUACACACUGCCACUAUGAGUCCAGAACAGGUUUAUCUUCAUAGAAGAGCUGGUAUCUCAGGUUUUGUAUGGGACAAAUGUAUGAAGCAGCUAGUUUUUCCUAUUGUAUUCACUUUAAGUAGUGCUUUUUGUCCGCAGUUCUAAUACUGCCCUUCCCAAGCCCCAGUUAGAUGUGAUGAACUUUUCAGAAGUUUGCCUAGAUGGUCACUCACCUCUUUAAGGUUACCCAAACUCUUCCAGGUUGUCUAGGUGACUGCAAAGCUCUAUUACUUAUUAGCAUGGCAGCAGCUGGCUGAGAUGAAAAUCCCUUUAUUAGUCCUGUCAUCUUGCUCAGUGAUGGAUACAAUCACUACUACAUUACUCUAGCAGGCAGACAGUUGUGUCCUUCCUCCAUGUCAGUGCCAGGCCAAUGUUCAGCUGACAGUCCUUUACAGUCUCAUACUAUGGAUGUGAGAGAGGUGCCAGUUAAAAGCAGGCUGCCUUUUGAAUGUGCACAUGGAAGUAUAAAAUGCUGCCUUUAGUUGUUUUGGGUUUUUUUUCUCUAAACACAAAAGUUAAUGUCAAAUUAACAUGAAGCACACUAUGAAGACUAACACUGGUAAUUGUCAGUGAAAGGAUUUGCAUGUCUUUUCUUUCAGGUGUAAUGUAGUCUUUCGUUCUGAAUCAAAUGUGAGGCUUAAUAUGCAGCUUGUUUUGUAAUAUGUAAUUGCUGUGUGGACUGUUUACAAUGCUUAUAAUUUUGUUGGCACAGCAAAUUAUAGGAGUGAUUAAGUCUGGAGCUAUGUGCUGCCUGGAGAAAGGAAUUCAAGCACAGUGGCUGCCAAAACAGGGUGAUCUGCAAGAUCACAGCUGAAGGAUGGAUCUGAGUAGAAGUAAAAGCUGGCCUCCAACUGAGUCCCAUAUGAAACAUAAGAAUGAAGCAAUGUGCAUACACAAGGUACCAGAUUUGCCAAAGCAUUAGCCUCAAAGAAUUGAUUAAAUUAGUCACAGACUAUUCUGGUGAUGUGAGAACAGCAGGACUGGGCAUGUGAUUGAUGAAACAGCUAUUACAGGGAAUUAGCAUUUGUGGUGUUUGAAUUCAAAGACAGCCUGCCUUGGAAAUCAGUUUGUUUGUUAAUUUGCUCCUAUUUCAGGGAAAGUAAAUCUAUUACUCAGGAGAUGUUCUUUAAAACCUUAUCCUUUGGUGUUCCCGAGACAGGUUUCUCAAACCACAGGAAGGAUGGGAGAGAGAAAACAGGCUCCUAAUCCCAGUGAGUCCCAGAGAAAGAGUAAGGGAGUAACUCACUCUACUGGGAGAAGGUACAGGCAAAAAUGCUGCUGUUGCUGGCAGUGUGUUUGAUGGGUGCAGGAGAGAAAAGCUCUCUUACUCUGUCAUCAAGAAGAACAAAGAAAUUACAUCAUAUCUUUGUGUACAGAGGAUGUUGAUGGAGUGUGCGGUUUUGAAUCUGCCACUGUAAGGAGCUUACAAAAAACCCUGCCUGUAAGACCUUCCUACUAAUAAGAUUAUAUUUUUCGUAUUUAGGGGUUACUUUCUUCAAAUGAAAGCUUUCACUGUAGAAAUAAGCAAAGAACAGCCAUCUGCUUUCAGUCAGGCUGAUUUGCUGUGUGAGAAACAAAACAGGCAGAAAAAGCUUGGAUGCCAAGAGAGCAUGGUCCAUUCCUGCUGCCCAUGGGUUCCUGUUGUAGAAGGCCCUGUCCAAAAGCACACUGGCUAUGCUGCAGGAGGGAGGUUCCUUCUCCACUUGUCAGUGCAAGUUCUUAAGCCAAACAUAACCUGCAGCAGACGCCACUGGUGUGAGCACCCACUUGUAGCUUCAAUCUCUCCAGGUUUGGUGUUUACUAGUAAUUUUUCAGGUCUUGGCUAUCAGCAGAGAUGGAGGGAGUGGGCUGAGUGAUUUACAUUUCGAUUUGGUCAGUCUUUUCAAAACCUAACCUUUGAACAAGGCAGUAUGAGGGAUUGUGCUUAGUCCAAUUUACAGACUCUCAAUUUGUUAAACAUCCAAAAUCCCCUCAAAUUAUAGCAGCAAUGUGGGUUUAAAACAGGUGGAUUGUUAGCUGGAUUGCAUUUAAUGGAAAGCACUGCAGUGUUCCAGCUUAUCCAGGCGAACUCAUUAGUGGUGCACUGAGCUGAAAUAUUCUUCAACCUUCUUUCAUCAAUACUUUGUAAGUAUACAAUUCAGCAGGUUACAACUGGAACAUGACCCUAGAAAGCUUCCUUUCUGCUUCCUUUUUUCCAUGCAAAAGAAAUUCUUCUUGGGGAGAGUGCUAUUAUUUAAUCCUCACUUUGGUCUACAUGUUCAACAUCAGGCCUAUAAACGUGCAUACAGAUGCUUAUGGACGCAUGCAUGGUUUUGCACUGGCCAAACAUCUUGUAAAACAGUUCAAGAGGAUGCAGGAGGGUCCUUGUCAUCCUUUGCCAGCUCUGUGGCAGAUCUCCUGUCCUUCACAGAGGUCUUGCCGUGCUCUUACACAUGCAACUGUAUGUAAUGCUAAGCAGGUGGGACCUUCUUCCAUUUCUCAAGGCAUAUCAUGCUUUUAAGCUGUAAUCUUUUUUGUUUCACAAAAAAAAAAAAAAAAAAAGAAAGAAAAAACCAAAACCAACACACGUUUCGUGCCUGAUGGGUUUUUCUUCAACAGAACUGAAACAGGCAUUCCAGCUCUGACUUCUAAAAACCCGAAGGAGCUUUAUGUCAAAACUAUGAAUUCUCUUUAAAAAAGUGUUCACAGUGGAAAAUGGAAAUUAUCCUUUUGUUGGCUGUGGCAGCUAAAAAGCCAUGUGUGGAGAAAGCCAAAGAUUCUCCUUAAAAAUAUGAAAUAGAAAUUCCUCCAAAGUGAUGAGAAACCAGUGAAUGGCUUGGGAAAGACAGAUUCCUCACAUACCAUCAUAGCUUGGUAUUUGACCUACUCCUGUGGAGUCUUCUAGGUCUGGCGGGGGGGGACCAACUGAGUCCUUAAUACUUAUUAAGAGUAGUAGAUUGACGCUACUUAAGGAAGAUCACGUUUUAAGAGAGAAGAACUCACAGAGUUUUUUGGCUAGUCAAAACACUCCAUCAGUUUACAAACAUAUGUUUUGUUUCUAGUUGUCAAGAAACAGAAUAAAAUUUAGCAUUGUAUUAACUAAAACAUUGAAGAACGUGCUCUAGAAAAACUAUUUUAUCCCUUAUUCCUUGCUCCAGGUAGCCAUGACAGAGUAGAGAUAAGGGAGAUUGCUGAACUUCCAGACUUGCAUUUGUUGCUGCACUGUGUGAAACUGAAGCACUGAUUCCCCGUGUCAUGAUGGAUGACAGUAUCUUGACAAAGAUCAAUUGAGAAGCAAACCCAUUGCUUAGGUAAAGUGUAAACCUUAUGAUAUAUGCCACAGCCUGACAAGCUCCUGCUUUAUCUCCUUCCUACAUAUACUGUGUAUUUUCUACAAUAUUUAAAUAAAAAACAAGGUAGGCAGAGAUAAGACAUCUCAUACAGGCAAGUGUGUAUCACCAGCCACAAGGUGUGUUAC